rnacentral:rRNA from 1 species
UUGUUUUGUGGGAAGUUACAAGAUAAGGCCUGCCCCCUGCAAGUUAAAGGGCCGCGGUAUUUUGACCGUGCAAAGGUAGCAUAAUCAUUAGUUUUUUAAUUGAAGACUGGGAUGAAUGGUUAAACGAGAGAUUAGCUGUCUCUGAGGAAAGAGAGAAUUUAAUUUUAUAGUGAAAAAGCUAUAAUAAAUAAGAGGGACGAGAAGACCCUAUAGAGCUUAAUAAAUUUUGGGUUAUAAAAUUAGUAAAUUUUUAAGUAAUUGGAAAAUUAAUUGGAUUGGGGUGGUGAAAAAAAGAUCCUAGUAGGAAUAAAGAAUAAGUUACCUUAGGGAUAACAGCGUAAUCUUUUUGGAGAGUUCAAAUCGAUGGAAGGGGUUGCGACCUCGAUGUUGGAUUAGAAGAAGCCUUUGGGGUAGUACUUAAAGUAAGAGGUCUGUUCGACCUGUAAAUUUCUA